GCUUAACACAUGCAAGUCGAACGGAAAGGCCCUUUCGGGGGUGCUCGAGUGGCGAACGGGUGAGUAACACGUGGGUGAUCUGCCCUGCACUUUGGGAUAAGCCUGGGAAACUGGGUCUAAUACCGAAUAUGAUCACGGGCUUCAUGGUCUGUGGUGGAAAGCUUUUGCGGUGUGGGAUGGGCCCGCGGCCUAUCAGCUUGUUGGUGGGGUAAUGGCCUACCAAGGCGACGACGGGUAGCCGGCCUGAGAGGGUGUCCGGCCACACUGGGACUGAGAUACGGCCCAGACUCCUACGGGAGGCAGCAGUGGGGAAUAUUGCACAAUGGGCGCAAGCCUGAUGCAGCGACGCCGCGUGAGGGAUGACGGCCUUCGGGUUGUAAACCUCUUUCAGCAGGGACGAAGCGCAAGUGACGGUACCUGUAGAAGAAGCACCGGCCAACUACGUGCCAGCAGCCGCGGUAAUACGUAGGGUGCGAGCGUUGUCCGGAAUUACUGGGCGUA
rnacentral:rRNA from 1 species